rnacentral:lncRNA from 1 species
CCCCGCCAGCUGCCGACCGGAGGUGGAGGCAAACUUAAAAGAAAAAGCUAAGGGCAGGGGUCUUUCAGUCAAACAUCAUUCUCAGAUCUCGGAAGUGUGUUUAGAUGGGAGCAGUACUGGACUUACUCAGUUUGGUUCCAGAAAGUGAAACUGAAACCGGUGAGAACCAGAUGAACACAGCUUCAGGUCCAAGUGAAAGAAAACUUCUACAUUAACUGCCAUCCACUGGAGUAGGUCCCAUCUUGAGGUGGUGAGCAUCUAGUUAGCAGAACCUGUGUUCGUCAGAGCUACUGACACUACCUUCGGCUGGCAGCCCAUAUAAAAGACAUGAAAGAAGGAAAUUCUCUCUCUUUGCCUGCUUGCCAUCACUCUCAUUGGCAGGUCAAUUCUGUCACUGGCAUUAGAGCCUAAUUCUUGGUGAUUCCAGCAUAUACUGAAGACCAACUGAGAUAUCCAGCCUUGUGGGCUGGGCAACUACUGGAUUCUUGAGCCUUCGGUUGAUAGACAGCCAUUGUUAGACUAGCUGGGUCACAGCCUUCUCUCUGUGUUGCCCAGAUUGGAUGCUUCCAGGCUACAGGAAUCUUUCUUCCUCCUCUUCCAAACUUCUGGGACUAGAGGAAAGCAUCACUGUGCUAGCCUAGGAUGUUUCCUUCGGGACUGAAACAUUCCAUCCAGAAGGGAAGCGCCUAAACAGAAAGAUAAACAACUCAAAUGGCUUCAGGAAGUCCUUGAAACUGACCAGAUUCGCUAUCCUGCCCUCUUUAUUGAGUAAGCAAUAAAAGCUGAGAGUUCCUCUCAGACUAGCAGAGCUGCAAAGAAAACCACCAGAUUAGCCAAAUUGAAAAGAAGACUCCACAAGCAGACCAGCUGAGCUGCCUAGAAGAGGUUUAAUACCAACUGAGAGUGAAAAGGAUGCCCUCCAACACACUGAGCUGCCUGCAGUGUGCUCCACAUCCCCAGCUUUUGUGAGCUGUCACCCAUGCUGGGGUGGACUUUGGUGAUACACCUGUCUUUGAGUCAUUUCUACUCCCGUAAGUAACCCCUCACCCAUAAGUGACUCCAGGAAAACUUAUUAAUUCACCAAGUUGGACUUUGGUAGUACCUGUACUUUGAUCUCUCAUAGUCUCCCUGUCUGGGGUGAGUGGACAAGCGUUUUGUCUCCUCAGGAAAAGUUUUGUCACAUAACACUAUCUCACUGGUUUUGAGCAAGGGAAGCUCAUUUGUUAUAUGGCUGCUUUGUUAUUUUGUUGUUGUUUGUAUUUUUGUAUUUGGGGCUUUGAGACAGGGUCACGUUUCUCAGAUCUGCCUCCACCUCUCAAAUUCUAGGAUUACAAACACAUGCAUCACCAUGCUGGGUCUGGAGCAGCAUCUUUGAAAGGACUAUUAUAAUUUCUUGCAAAUCUAGAAGGUACAGCUGAGAACUUUAUGCUAGUAUUAUUCCCCCAAAUAUUUCAUUAAACACUGAUUUCAAGGCUAGACACAAUACCUGCCGCCUGUCGCUCUCCAAAGGCAAAUGCUCCAUGCUGCUGCCCCCCAGAGGCCAUUGUGCCUAAUAGCAGCCCACACUGUGACUCCUGAAGAGGUAAAUUAAGAGUGGCUCUAGCGGCUUGUAGAAACCUAUAGAAAAGCCCUAAGAGAAUCGAGACCACUGGAACUGGAGUUGCAGAUAGUUGUGGACACUGGGAACUGAACCCAGGCCUUCUACAAGAAUAUCAAGUGCUCUUAGUCAGUGGGCCUUCUCUCCAGUGCCACAAUUGCAUCUUUUUGUUGUUGUUUGUUUUGUUUUUGCAGCUAACCGUGUCCUAACUGGGUAUGGUUCCUUUUAAAAGCAAGACUUCAAAUGAGAUAAUGUGUGUAAAGUAUUAAAUGAGCUUUAACUGGUAUUUGCUAUUGUGUUUAUUAUCACAUACACUAGGCUUGUUUACUUAGGAGACCCUUAAGGGCUUCAGUGGUUCUAGAACGUUGUUUAGAUCAUGCUGCCCUAAAGUACCCCAUACUAUGUAAAAUGAUGAGUCUUCAGACUGGG